rnacentral:rRNA from 1 species
UGGGGAAUAUUGGACAAUGGGCGCAAGCCUGAUCCAGCCAUGCCGCGUGUGUGAAGAAGGCCUUAUGGUUGUAAAGCACUUUAAGCGAGGAGGAGGCUACUUUAGUUAAUACCUAGAGAUAGUGGACGUUACUCGCAGAAUAAGCACCGGCUAACUCUGUGCCAGCAGCCGCGGUAAUACAGAGGGUGCAAGCGUUAAUCGGAUUUACUGGGCGUAAAGCGCGCGUAGGCGGCUAAUUAAGUCAAAUGUGAAAUCCCCGAGCUUAACUUGGGAAUUGCAUUCGAUACUGGUUAGCUAGAGUGUGGGAGAGGAUGGUAGAAUUUCCUGUGUAGCGGUGAAAUGCGUAGAUAUAGGAAGGAACACCAGUGGCGAAGGCGACCACCUGGGCUCAUACUGACACUGAGGUGCGAAAGCGUGGGGAGCAAACAGG